UACAGAGGUCCCGAGCGUUGUUCGGAUUCACUGGGUUUAAAGGGUGCGUAGGUGGGCAAGUAAGUCAGUGGUGAAAUCUCCGGGCUUAACCCGGAAACUGCCAUUGAUACUAUUUGUCUUGAAUACUGUGGAGGUCAGCGGAAUAUGUCAUGUAGCGGUGAAAUGCUUAGAUAUGACAUAGAACACCAAUUGCGAAGGCAGCUGGCUACACAAAUAUUGACACUGAGGCACGAAAGCGUGGGGAUCAAACAGG
rnacentral:rRNA from 1 species